UUGAAACUUGCUUUUCAAACUUAGCGGCGGACGGGUGAGUACACGUGGGCAACCUGCCCUUGAGACGGGGAUAACUCCGGGAAACCGGAGCUAAUACCGGAUAACACAUAUCUUCGCAUGAGGAUAUGUUAGAAGGUGGCUUUUAGCUACCACUCAAGGAUGGGCCCGCGGCGCAUUAGCUAGUUGGUGAGGUAACGGCUCACCAAGGCGACGAUGCGUAGCCGACCUGAGAGGGUGAUCGGCCACACUGGGACUGAGACACGGCCCAGACUCCUACGGGAGGCAGCAGUAGGGAAUCUUCCGCAAUGGACGAAAGUCUGACGGAGCAACGCCGCGUGAGUGAUGAAGGUUUUCGGAUCGUAAAGCUCUGUUGUUAGGGAAGAACAAGUACCUGUUNAAUAAGCAGGUACCUUGACGGUACCUAACCAGAAAGCCACGGCUAACUACGUGCCAGCAGCCGCGGUAAUACGUAAGUGGCAAGCGUUU
rnacentral:rRNA from 1 species